UUCUUGCUCCUCAAAGGACACUUAAUCCAACAUCGAGGUCACAAUCUUUAUUUUGAAUGAGGUCUUUGAAAUUAAAUUGUGCUGUUAUCCCUGAAGUAACUUAUUGUUUAUUUUGAAAUUUUCAGGUAUAUAAAAAUUUAUUUUUAUAAUUUUUUAAGAUUGUUUAAUUUUUCUUAAACCGCCCCAGUUUAACAAAUUAUUCUAUUUAAUAGGUUUAUUUGUAAAGUUUUAUAGGGUCUUCUUGUCUUUAAUAAUAAUCUAUGCCUUUUUACAAAAAAGUCAACUUCAUCUUCUCUAAUUAAUAAAGUUAGAUUUUGGUUUAAUCUUUCAUUCCAG
rnacentral:rRNA from 1 species